rnacentral:rRNA from 1 species
ACGUACUGGCAUUGUUGGUUUCUCCCUUCUGACGAACCAUGAUGUCAUUUAUUUGGUGUUGUGGGGAGUCAGGACUGUUACUUUGAAAAAAUUAGAGUGUUUAAAGCAGGCUCACGCUUGAACACAUUAGCAUGGAAUAAUGAAAUAGGACGUUUGAUUCUAUUUUGUUGGUUUCUAGGAUCGACGUAAUGAUUAAUAGGGAUAGUUGGGGGCAUUAGUAUUCAAUUGUCAGAGGUGAAAUUCUUGGAUUUAUUGAAGAUUAACUACUGCGAAAGCAUUUGCCAAGGAUGUUUUCAUUAAUCAAGAAUGAAAGUUAGGGGAUCGAAGACGAUCAGAUACCGUCGUAGUCUUAACCAUAAACUAUGCCGACUAGGGAUCGGAUGAUGUUAAUUUUUUAAUGACUCAUUCGGCGCCUUACG